CCUUGGGCUGUAUUUCCAAUUCUGAGGAUCCGGCUUUUUACCCUAUCCACACCCUUAGGGGAGGCUGGUGAGGUUACAGCUAUGAACCACAGAGAUGCUAAGGGCCUUUGCAAAGGUCAGACUCGCCACCUUCAUCUCAUCGGCGGCAAUCCCCAAGAGGCCUUAAACACCUGAAGAGACUAACACAGUGCCUUACACGUGAGAGUUGCUCAACAGAGGCUGAUUUAAUUGAAAAAAAGAGAACCCAGCAUUAUCCACAUACCAUGGAGCACCUAGGUGGCAUGACAGGUGGAGCCUUGGACUUAAGAGAUGGGAAGGCCUGCGUACAAAUUUAACCUCAGCAAUACUGUAUGAGGAUUAAUUCUGCUGGAAGUGGCUACCUUCAACAAUUAGAGAAUUCAGUUCCAGUUGAUCAGUGAUGAACAGAGCCAACUACACCCACCGAAAGAACACUGGGAAAUGAUUCAAAAUAAAACAUUGACACUUGUUGUUUCCUUGAAUUUUUGUUUUCACACAAAAUAGAGUGAGACAGAGUUGAAAGAGAUAGAAAGAGAAAGUUGAAAGAAACAUGAUAAACAGAGAUGAGUGACAGAGAGAAAGAGUUGAAAGAAAAAGAGAUGAGAGAUAAAGGUGAAAGAGACAGAUGAGAGAGUGGAAAGAAACAGAUGAGAAACAGAGUGUAUGAGAGAGAAAAAGGAGAGAGAGUUAAAAGAAACAGAAAGAGAUGAGAGACAUAGAGAGACAGAGAAAGUGAGAGAGAGAGUUGAGACAAACAGAUGAGAGACAAAGAACAAGUUGAGAGAGACAGAGAGAGUGGAAAGAAACAGAUGAGAAACAGUGUGUGUGAGAGAGACAGGUGAAAGAGACAGAGAUGAGAGAGACAGAGAUAGAAGGAUACAAAGGUGAAAGAGACAGAGUGUGAGAGAGAGAGAGAAGAGAGAAAGAGGUGAAAGAAACAGAAAGAGAUGAGAGAGACAAAGAGAAAGCUGAGACAGAGAGAGU